GCUCUCAUAGAGUAAGUGGUUAUCUCGCCUGAUUCUCAGUCAGGAGAUUCCGGGUUCGAAUCCCGGUGAGGGUA
rnacentral:tRNA from 1 species